AAUAGAUACCCGGGUAGUCCACGCCGUAAACGAUGAGUGCUAAGUGUUAGAGGGUUUCCGCCUUUUAGUGCUGCAGCUAACGCAUUAAGCACUCCGCCUGGGGAGUACGGCCGCAAGGCUGAAACUCAAAGGAAUUGACGGGGGCCCGCACAAGCGGUGGAGCAUGUGGUUUAAUUCGAAGCAACGCGAAGAACCUUACCAGGUCUUGACAUCCUCUGCCAACCCUAGAGAUAGGGCGUUCCCCUUCGGGGGACAGAGUGACAGGUGGUGCAUGGUUGUCGUCAGCUCGUGUCGUGAGAUGUUGGGUUAAGUCCCGCAACGAGCGCAACCCUUGAUCUUAGUUGCCAGCAUUCAGUUGGGCACUCUAAGGUGACUGCCGGUGACAAACCGGAGGAAGGUGGGGAUGAUGUCAAAUCAUCAUGCCCCUUAUGACCCGGGCUACACACGUGCUACAAUGGAUGGUACAAAGAGCUGCGAACCCGCGAGGGUAAGCCAAUCUCAUAAAGCCAUUCUCAGUUCGGA
rnacentral:rRNA from 1 species